UGAGAAACGCCCUGUGCGUUAAUGCAGAC
rnacentral:piRNA from 1 species